rnacentral:tRNA from 1 species
AUUUAAAUAGCUUAUAUAGAGUUUAAUAUUGAAGAUAUUAAGGAAAUUUUUUUAAAUUUUUAAAUA